GACAGAGGGUGCAAACGUUGUUCGGAAUUACUGGGCGUAAAGCGCGUGUAGGCGGCUUUGCAAGUCGGGUGUGAAAUCCCUCAGCUCAACUGAGGAAGUGCGCCCGAAACUGCAGAGCUUGAGUACCGGAGAGGAUGGCGGAAUUCCCCAAGUAGAGGUGAAAUUCGUAGAUAUGGGGAGGAACACCGGUGGCGAAGGCGGCCAUCUGGACGGAUACUGACGCUGAGACGCGAAAGCGUGGGGAGCAAACAGG
rnacentral:rRNA from 1 species